rnacentral:rRNA from 1 species
AUGCAAGAUCAGGUCGGCCUGGACCUAGACGGCUUCUCGCUCGACCACGAGUUUCCGGAGGACUAUGGCCUCGAGGAAAAGGAUCGGUUGGAUAUCAACGGGGAGCCUUUGUUCAAGGACGGGCUCGCCAGCCAAGCUGCCAGGGUGAAUUCGAAGCGCAAGAGCAAGCGGAUGAAGGCAUACACGGUGUCCGAGGACAAACUCCUUUGUGAGUGUUGGAGAGACAUUGGGCAAGACCACAAGGUCAGUGCCAAACAAAAGGCAUCAACCUUUUGGAUUUGUGUCCAUCGUGAGUUCCAUGAACGCAAGAAGUUUGCGCCAUACCAAAUGCAUAGCACGCGCGGGUGGGUGUCCAUUUCGAAGCGAUGGAGGGUGAUACAACAAGAGUGCAACAAGUUUUGUGCUACCCUUGAGAGCAUCAAGGCACGCCCAUGA